rnacentral:rRNA from 1 species
UACGUAGGGUGCAAGCGUUGUCCGGAAUUAUUGGGCGUAAAGAGCUCGUAGGCGGUUUGUCGCGUCUGCUGUGAAAUCUGGGGGCUCAACCCCCAGCCUGCAGUGGGUACGGGCAGACUAGAGUGCGGUAGGGGAGAUUGGAAUUCCUGGUGUAGCGGUGAAAUGCGCAGAUAUCAGGAGGAACACCGGUGGCGAAGGCGGGUCUCUGGGCCGAUACUGACGCUGAGGAGCGAAAGCGUGGGGAGCGAACAGG